rnacentral:rRNA from 1 species
AAUUUUCCGCAAUGGGCGCAAGCCUGACGGAGCAACGCCGCGUGAGGGAUGAAGGUCUUCGGAUCGUAAACCUUUUUCAUCGAGGAAGAUAAUUACGGUACUCGAGGUGGAAGCCCCUGCUAACUACGUGCCAGCAGCCGCGGUAACACGUAGGGGGCAAGCGUUGUCCGGAAUUAUUGGGCGUAAAGGGCGCGCAGGCGGUUUUUUAAGUCUGAUGUGAAAUCUCGCAGCUUAACUGCGAGCGGUCAUUGGAAACUGGAAAGCUUGAGUACAGAAGAGGAGGGUGGAAUUCCACGUGUAGCGGUGAAAUGCGUAGAGAUGUGGAGGAACACCAGUGGCGAAGGCGACUCACUGGUCUGUAACUGACGCUGAGGCGCGAAAGCGUGGGUAGCGAACA